GACGAACGCUGGCGGCGUGCUUAACACAUGCAAGUCGAACGGCAAGGCCCUGCUUUUGUGGGGUGCUCGAGUGGCGAACGGGUGAGUAACACGUGAGUAACCUGCCCUUGACUUUGGGAUAACUUCAGGAAACUGGGGCUAAUACCGGAUAGGAGCUCCUGCUGCAUGGUGGGGGUUGGAAAGUUUCGGCGGUUGGGGAUGGACUCGCGGCUUAUCAGCUUGUUGGUGGGGUAGUGGCUUACCAAGGCUUUGACGGGUAGCCGGCCUGAGAGGGUGACCGGCCACAUUGGGACUGAGAGACGGCCCAGACUCCUACGGGAGGCAGCAGGGGGGAAUAUUGCAGAAUGGGCGGAAGCCUGAUGCAGCAACGCCGCGUGCGGGAUGACGGCCUUCGGGUUGUAAACCGCUUUCGCCUGUGACGAAGCGUGAGUGACGGUAAUGGGUAAAGAAGCACCGGCUAACUACGUG
rnacentral:rRNA from 1 species